GAGGAAUAUUGGUCAAUGGGCGAGAGCCUGAACCAGCCAAGUAGCGUGCAGGAAGACGGCCCUAUGGGUUGUAAACUGCUUUUAUGUGGGGAUAAAGUGAGCUACGUGUAGUUUAUUGCAGGUACCACAUGAAUAAGGACCGGCUAAUUCCGUGCCAGCAGCCGCGGUAAUACGGAAGGUCCAGGCGUUAUCCGGAUUUAUUGGGUUUAAAGGGAGCGUAGGCCGUGGAUUAAGCGUGUUGUGAAAUGUAGACGCUCAACGUCUGAAUUGCAGCGCGAACUGGUUCACUUGAGUAUGCACAACGUAGGCGGAAUUCGUCGUGUAGCGGUGAAAUGCUUAGAUAUGACGAAGAACUCCGAUUGCGAAGGCAGCUUACGGGAGCACAACUGACGCUGAAGCUCGAAGGUGCGGGUAUCAAACAGGAUUAGAUACCCCGGUAGUCCGCACAGUAAACGAUGGAUGCCCGUUGUUAGUUCACUUAAGAAUUAGCGACCAAGCGAAAGCAUUAAGCAUCCCACCUGGGGAGUACGCCGGCAACGGUG
rnacentral:rRNA from 1 species